rnacentral:sRNA from 1 species
AUAGACCAAAGGACUCCGACUACAAGAAGAAAGAAAACCAU